GAUGAACGCUAGCGGCAGGCUUAACACAUGCAAGUCGAGGGGCAGCGCGAUGUAGCAAUACAUUGGCGGCGACCGGCGCACGGGUGCGUAACACGUAUGGAAUCUGCCCUUUACUGGGGGAUAGCCCGGAGAAAUCCGGAUUAAUACCCCAUAAUAAUCGAGGUGGCAACACCUUGAUUUGAAAGCUCCGGCGGUAAAGGAUGACCAUGCGCACGAUUAGCUAGUAGGUGAGGUAACGGCUCACCUAGGCUACGAUCGUUAGGGGGCCUGAGAGGGUUAUCCCCCACACUGGUACUGAGACACGGACCAGACUCCUACGGGAGGCAGCAGUGAGGAAUAUUGCGCAAUGGAGGCAACUCUGACGCAGCCAUGCCGCGUGCAGGAAGAAGGCGCUACGCGUUGUAAACUGCUUUUAACCGGGAAGAAACCCCUCUACGUGUGGAGGGUUGACGGUACCGGAGGAAUAAGCACCGGCUAACUUCGUGCCAGCAGCCGCGGUAAUACGAAGGGUGCAAGCGUUAUCCGGAUUCAUUGGGUUUAGAGGGUGCGUAGGCGGGGUGGUAAGUCAGUGGUGAAAUCCUGCAGCUUAACUGUAGAAUUGCCAUUGAUACUGCCAUUCUUGAGUACGCUGGAUGUGGGCGGAAUGUGCCGUGUAGCGGUGAAAUGCUUAGAUAUGGCACAGAACACCGAUAGCGAAGGCAGCUCACAACGGCGAAACUGACGCUGAGGCACGAAAGCGUGGGGAUCGAACAGGAUUAGAUACCCUGGUAGUCCACGCCGUAAACGAUGAUCACUCGUCAUUGGCGAUACACUGUCAGUGACCUAGCGAAAGCGUUAAGUGAUCCACCUGGGGAGUACGGCCGCAAGGCUGAAACUCAAAGGAAUUGACGGG
rnacentral:rRNA from 1 species